CAACUGUCACCCUCAACACACCUGUGGAGCUGUAGAUGUUUGAAAAAACAGAAAAGAGCUGUUUAAAAUAAAAUGCUGGUGUUUUAAAAACACGUUGCAGAUGUUUAAUAACAAGCUGCAGGUGUUUAUUAACAAAUUCCAGGUGUUUAAAACAAGUUGCAGAUGUUUAAUAACAAGCUGCAGGUGUUUAUUAACAAACUGCAGUUGUUUAAAACAAGUUGCAGAUGUUUAAUAUGGAGUUGCAGAUGUUAUGAACUGCAGGUGUUUAAAAUAAGCUGCAGAUGUUUAAUUGCAAAAUGUAGUGGGUUAAAAUGAGCAGCAGAUGUUAAUUAAGAGAUGUUUAAUAAUGAGCUGCAGGUGUUUAAAAUAACGAGCUGCCGGUGUUUAAAAUAACGAGUUGCAGGUGUUUAAUAGUGAGCUGCAAAGGUUUUAAAUACAGAGCUGCAGAUGUUAAAUAAUGAGUUGCCGGUGUUUAUAAUAAUGAGUUGUAGGUAAGCUGCAGAUGUUUAAAAAACAGCGCUACAGAUGUUAAAUAAUGAGCUGAGAUGUGUAAAAUAAAAAUCUGCAAGUGUUUAAAAUAAUGACCUGUUGGUGUUUAAAAUAAUGAGUUGCAGGUGUGUAAUAGCAAGCUACAGAUGUUUAAUAAUGAGCUGCAUCUGAUUAAAAUAAUGAGUUGCAGGUGUUUAAUAGUGACCUGCAAAUAUUUAAAAUACAGAGCUGCAGAUGUGUAAAAUAAAAAGCUGUUGGUGUUUAAAAUUAACAAGCAACGGAUGAACAAUAUCAAGCAGCAGAUGGUUAAUAUCAAGCUGCAGGUGUUUAAAAUAAUGAGCAGUAGGUAUUUAAUAACGAGUUGCAGGUGUUUAAUAGUGAGCUGCAAAUAUUUAAAAUACAGAGCUGCAGAUUUUAAAUAAUGAGCUGCAGGUGUUUAAAAUAAGCCGCAGAUGAAAAAUAACAAGCUGCAGAUGGUUAAUAUCAUGCUGCAUAUGUUUAAUAACGAGUUGCAAGUGUGUGAUAGCGAGUUACAGAUGUUUAAUAAUGAGCUGCAGGUGUUUAAAAUAAUGAGCUGAAGGUGUUUAAAAUAAUGAGCUGAAGGUGUUUAAAAUAACGAGCUGUAGGUGUUUAAAAUAAUGAGCUGAAGGUGUAUAAAAUAAUGAGUGGCCGGUGUGUAAAAUAAUAGGCAGCAGAUGGUUAAUAUCAAUCUGCAGAUGUUUAAAAUUAUGAGCUGCAGGUGUUUAAAAUAAUGAGCUGCAGGUGUUUAAAAUAAUGAGCUGCAGGUGUUUAAAAUAAUGAGCUGGAGGUGUUUAAAAUAAUGAAUGGCCGGUGUGUAAAAUAAUAGGCUGCAGAUGGUUAAUAUCAAGCUGCAGAUGUUUAAAAUUAUGAGCUGCAGGUGUUUAAAAUAAUGAGCUGCAGGUGUUUAAAAUAAUGAAUGACCGGUGUGUAAAAUAAUAGGCUGCAGAUGGUUAAUAUCAAUCUGCAGGUGUUUAAAAUUAUGAGCUGCAGGUGUUUGAAAUAACGAGCUGCAGGUGUUUAAAAUAAUGAGCUGCAGGUGUUUAAAAUAAUGAGCUGCAGGUGUUUAAAAUAAUGAGCUGCAGGUGUUUAAAAUAAUGAAUGGCCGGUGUGUAAAAUAAUAGGCUGCAGAUGGUUAAUAUCAGUCUGCAGGUGUUUAAAAUUAUGAGCUGCAGGUGUUUAAAAUAAUGAGCUGGAGGUGUUUAAAAUAAUGAGCUGCAGGUGUUUAAAAUAAUGAGCUGCAGGUGUUUAAAAUAAUGAAUGGCCGGUGUGUAAAAUAAUAGGCUGCAGAUGGUUAAUAUCAGUCUGCAGGUGUUUAAAAUUAUGAGCUGCAGGUGUUUGAAAUAAUGAGCUGCAGGUGUUUAAAAUUAUGAGCUGCAGGUGUAUAAAAUAAUGAGUGGCCAGUGUGUAAAAUAAUAGGCUGAAGAUGGUUAAUAUCAAGCUGCUGGUGUUUAAAAUUAUAAGCUGCUGAUGUUAAAUAACAAGCUGCAAAUGUUUAAUACUGAUCUGCAGAUUUUAAAUAACAAGCUGCUGCAGGUAUGUAAUUAAAAACGAUAGAUACAGUAUUUAAUAACGAAUUGCAGGUGUAUAACGAGCUGCAGAUGUUAAGUAAUGAGGUGCAGAUGUUGUAUAAUGAACUGUACAUGUUUUUGAGUUUAGAAACUUCAAGUUGCUUUGAAUAACAACAUGAAUACAAGUAAAUCUCUAUUCUGUAAAACUCUGAGGUCUCUGUAAUUACAGUAUGGAUUUAUUGUAUUGUACAGUAGCUGUUUUUAUACUCUCUUUU